CCUGGAUCCAUUUUUCAGUUGCCUCCUGGACUGGCUGCACUCCGAGCACUCCUGAGUCGUGCAGGUUACCUGUCAUCUCGUGGUGCUGGCCUCCCGGACUGCUCAUCCCCUCGAUCCUCCUCCUCCCGGAGACCACAUUGAUACUCCUUCUUCUUGUCACUCAUCACUGCAAGCAUAGAG